rnacentral:tRNA from 1 species
GGGCCCUUAGCUCAGUUGGCAGAGCAACGGACUUUUAAUCCGUAGGUCGUGGGUUCGAGACCCACAGGGCCCACCA